AACGAACGCUGGCGGCGCGCCUAAUACAUGCAAGUCGAGCGAGAAGACGUAGCAAUACGUUUGUAAAGCGGCGAACGGGUGAGGAAUACAUGGGUAACCUACCCUCGAGUGGGGAAUAACUAGCCGAAAGGUUAGCUAAUACCGCGUACGCUCCUUGGACUUCGGUUCAGGGAGGAAAGCGAUACCGUGGGUAUCGCGCUCUUGGAUGGGCUCAUGUCCUAUCAGCUUGUUGGUGAGGAACGGCUCACCAAGGCUUCGACGGGUAGCUGGUCUGAGAGGAUGAUCAGCCACAUUGGGACUGAGACACGGCCCAGACUCCUACGGGAGGCAGCAGUGGGGAAUAUUGCGCAAUGGCCGCAAGGCUGACGCAGCGACGCCGCGUGUGGGAUGACGGGUCUUCGGAUUGUAAACCACUGUCAGGGGGACGAAUACAGGGCUUCGAUAAGGAGACCCUGGGUGACGGUACCUCCAAAGGAAGCACCGGCUAACUCCGUGCCAGCCGCCGCC
rnacentral:rRNA from 1 species